GUGAGGAAUAUUGGUCAAUGGGCGGGAGCCUGAACCAGCCAAGUCGCGUGAAGGAAGAAGGAUCUAUGGUUCGUAAACUUCUUUUGCAGGGGAAUAAAGUGCAGGACGUGUCCUGUUUUGUAUGUACCCUGAGAAUAAGGAUCGGCUAACUCCGUGCCAGCAGCCGCGGUAAUACGGAGGAUCCGAGCGUUAUCCGGAUUUAUUGGGUUUAAAGGGUGCGUAGGUGGUUUGAUAAGUCAGCGGUGAAAGUUUGCAGCUUAACUGUAAAAAUGCCGUUGAAACUGUCGGACUUGAGUGUAAAUGAGGUAGGCGGAAUGCGUGGUGUAGCGGUGAAAUGUAUAGAUAUCACGCAGAACUCCGAUUGCGAAGGCAGCUUACUAAGCUACAACUGACACUGAAGCACGAAAGCGUGGGGAUCAAACAGGAUUAGAAACCCUGGUAGUCC
rnacentral:rRNA from 1 species